rnacentral:rRNA from 1 species
UGGGGAAUAUUGCACAAUGGGCGCAAGCCUGAUGCAGCGACGCCGCGUGGGGGAUGACGGCCUUCGGGUUGUAAACCUCUUUCAGCACAGACGAAGCGCAAGUGACGGUAUGUGCAGAAGAAGGACCGGCCAACUACGUGCCAGCAGCCGCGGUAAUACGUAGGGUCCGAGCGUUGUCCGGAAUUACUGGGCGUAAAGAGCUCGUAGGUGGUUUGUCGCGUUGUCCGUGAAAUCUCACAACUCAAUUGUGAGCGUGCGGGCGAUACGGGCAGACUGGAGUACUGCAGGGGAGACUGGAAUUCCUGGUGUAGCGGUGGAAUGCGCAGAUAUCAGGAGGAACACCGGUGGCGAAGGCGGGUCUCUGGGCAGUAACUGACGCUGAGGAGCGAAAGCGUGGGGAGCGAACAGG